rnacentral:rRNA from 1 species
UUGAACGCUGGCGGCAUGCUUUACACAUGCAAGUCGAACGGGGGUGGGGCAACCCACCUCAGUGGCGAACGGGUGAGUAACAUAUCGGAACGUAUCCUCGAGUGGGGGAUAACUCCGAGAAAUCGGAGCUAAUACCGCAUGAGAUCUAAGGAUGAAAGCGGGGGACCGAAAGGCCUCGCGCUGGAGGGGCGGCCGAUAUCUGAUUAGCUAGUUGGUGGGGUAACGGCCUACCAAGGCGACGAUCAGUAGCUGGUCUGAGAGGAUGAUCAGCCACACUGGGACUGAGACACGGCCCAGACUCCUACGGGAGGCAGCGGUGGGGAAUUUUGGACAAUGGGCGCAAGCCUGAUCCAGCCAUGCCGCGUGAGUGAAGAAGGUCUUAGGAUUGUAAAAUUCUUU